GUUCUAUGUCGUAUGGCCGAUGAUGAGAACCGGUCCUAUGUCAUAUGGCCGAUGAUGAGAACUGGUCCUAUGUCCUAUGUCAUAU